rnacentral:rRNA from 1 species
UACGUAGGGUGCAAGCGUUGUCCGGAAUUAUUGGGCGUAAAGAGCUCGUAGGCGGUCUGUCGCGUCUGGUGUGAAAAUCCAGGGCUUAACCCUGGACCUGCAUCGGGUACGGGCAGACUAGAGUGCGGUAGGGGAGAUCGGAAUUCCUGGUGUAGCGGUGAAAUGCGCAGAUAUCAGGAGGAACACCGGUGGCGAAGGCGGAUCUCUGGGCCUGUCCUGACGCUGAGGCGCGAAAGCUAGGGGAGCGAACAGG